rnacentral:rRNA from 1 species
UACGAAGGGGGCUAGCGUUGCUCGGAAUCACUGGGCGUAAAGCGCACGUAGGCGGCUUCUUAAGUCAGGGGUGAAAUCCUGGAGCUCAACUCCAGAACUGCCUUUGAUACUGAGGAGCUUGAGUCCGGGAGAGGUGAGUGGAACUGCGAGUGUAGAGGUGAAAAUUCGUAGAUAUUCGCAAGAACACCAGUGGCGAAGGCGGCUCACUGGCCCGGUACUGACGCUGAGGUGCGAAAGCGUGGGGAGCAAACAGGG